UACGUAGGGGGCAAGCGUUGUCCGGAUUUAUUGGGCGUAAAGAGCGUGUAGGCGGCUAGACAGGUCCGUUGUGAAAACUCGAGGCUCAACCUCGAGACGUCGAUGGAAACCAUCUGGCUAGAGUCCGGAAGAGGAGAGUGGAAUUCCUGGUGUAGCGGUGAAAUGCGCAGAUAUCAGGAAGAACACCCGUGGCGAAGGCGGCUCUCUGGUACGUGACUGACGCUGAGACGCGAAAGCGUGGGGAGCAAACAGG
rnacentral:rRNA from 1 species